UACGGGGGGGGCAAGCGUUGUUCGGAAUUACUGGGCGUAAAGGGCUCGUAGGCGGCCAACUAAGUCAGACGUGAAAUCCCUCGGCUUAACCGGGGAACUGCGUCUGAUACUGGAUGGCUUGAGUUUGGGAGAGGGAUGCGGAAUUCCAGGUGUAGCGGUGAAAUGCGUAGAUAUCAGGAGGAACACCAAUGGCGAAGGCAGCACUCUGGGACGGUACUGACGCUGAGACGCGAAAGCGUGGGGAGCAAACAGG
rnacentral:rRNA from 1 species